AACGAACGCUGGCGGCGUGCCUAACACAUGCAAGUCGUGCGAGAAAGUUCCCUCCGGGGGCGGAGUAAGCAGGCGCACGGGUGGAGUAACACGUGGUGAAUACUACCCUUGAGUCUGGGAUAACCCGGGGAAACCCGAGCUAAUACCGGAUGCUCCCGAAGAUUCCUCGGAUUCUUCGGAGAAAGGUGGCCUCUUCUCGAAAGCUACUGCUCUAGGAUGAGCCCGCGUCCCAUUAGCUAGUUGGUGAGGUAAAGGCUCACCAAGGCAAAGAUGGUAGCUGGUCUAAGAGGAUGAUCAGCCACACUGGAACUGAGACACGGUCCAGACUCCUACGGGAGGCAGCAGUGGGGAAUCUUGGCAAUGGGCGAAAGCCUGACCCAGCAACGCCGCGUGUGGGAUGAAGGCCUCGGGUCGUAAACCACUGUCAGAGGGGAAGAACAACCAGCCGGGGAAUAUUCGGCUGCCUGACGGUACCCUCAAAGGAAGCGCCGGCUAACUCCGUGCCAGCAGCCGCGGUAAUACGGAGGGCGCAAGCGUUGUUCGGAAUUACUGGGCGUAAAGCGCGUGCAGGUGGUUUGGAAAGUCGAAUGUGAAAGCCCGGAGCUCAACUCCGGAACUGCAUCCGAAACUUCCAGACUAGAGUCUCGGAGAGGAAGGCAGAAUUCCCAAUGUAGGGGUGAAAUCCGUAGAUAUUGGGAGGAAUACCGGUGGCGAAGGCGGCCUUCUGGACGGUGACUGACACUCAGACGCGAAAGCGU
rnacentral:rRNA from 1 species